rnacentral:misc_RNA from 1 species
GUGAAUCAUCAAAUCUUUGAACGCAAAUUGCACUCUCUGGUAUUCCGGAGAGUAUGCCUGUUUGAGGGUCAGUUUAAAUAAAAAUCGGUGUGGUUGCUGCCUUUCGUGGUGACGUACCGGAUUUGGGUCGUCUUGCCUUCGGUUAGGUGUUCUAAUAUUAUGCAUGAUUUUUUCGACCGUAUUUAAAUGAUAUUAUG